GAUGAACGCUGGCGGCGUGCUUAAUACAUGCAAGUCGAGCGAACAGACGAGGAGCUUGCUCCUCUGACGUUAGCGGCGGACGGGUGAGUAACACGUGGAUAACCUACCUAUAAGACUGGGAUAACUUCGGGAAACCGGAGCUAAUACCGGAUAAUAUAUUGAACCGCAUGGUUCAAUAGUGAAAGACGGUUUUGCUGUCACUUAUAGAUGGAUCCGCGCCGCAUUAGCUAGUUGGUAAGGUAACGGCUUACCAAGGCAACGAUGCGUAGCCGACCUGAGAGGGUGAUCGGCCACACUGGAACUGAGACACGGUCCAGACUCCUACGGGAGGCAGCAGUAGGGAAUCUUCCGCAAAGGGCGAAAGCCUGACGGAGCAACGCCGCGUGAGUGAUGAAGGUCUUCGGAUCGUAAAACUCUGUUAUUAGGGAAGAACAAAUGUGUAAGUAACUAUGCACGUCUUGACGGUACCUAAUCAGAAAGCCACGGCUAACUACGUG
rnacentral:rRNA from 1 species